rnacentral:ncRNA from 1 species
GGGUGUCCUAUAAAUGGUUAUAGGUCAGGUAAUAAGCUAGGUCGGGCCGCCAGCU